CAGAGACUCAGCCUGGAGAGACAACAGGAAAGAAAGAAGUUAUUUAUUAUUAACUCCUGUUAUAAAAAGAUAUCAGAGUAUUUAUUGAUGAAUGAAUCCCACGUACAGAGCUUUGUUGGAGGAACAGUAAUGAAGAAGAUAGAUCACAUUUGUGUUUGUAUGUGAAGGCUGGACUUUUGGUGAUAGAGAAUA